rnacentral:rRNA from 1 species
CGCGCAGGCGGCGCGUUAAGUCCGGGGUGAAAUCCCACGGCUCAACUGUGGGGGGACCUUGGAUACUGGCGUGCUGGAGUGCGGGAGAGGGAAGCGGAAUUCCACGUGUAACGGUGAAAUGUAUAGAUAUGUGGAGGAACACCGGUGGCGAAGGCGGCUUCCUGGACCGUAACUGACGCUGAGGCGCGAAAGCUGGGGGAGCGAACA